UACGUAGGGCGCAAGCGUUGUCCGGAAUUAUUGGGCGUAAAGAGCUCGUAGGCGGCUUGUCACGUCGGGUGUGAAAGCCCGGGGCUUAACCCCGGGUCUGCAUUCGAUACGGGCUGGCUAGAGUGUGGUAGGGGAGAUCGGAAUUCCUGGUGUAGCGGUGAAAUGCGCAGAUAUCAGGAGGAACACCGGUGGCGAAGGCGGAUCUCUGGGCCAUUACUGACGCUGAGGAGCGAAAACGUGGGGAGCGAACAGG
rnacentral:rRNA from 1 species